UGGGGAAUAUUGCACAAUGGGCGCAAGCCUGAUGCAGCCAUGCCGCGUGUGUGAAGAAGGCCUUCGGGUUGUAAAGCACUUUCAGCGAGGAGGAAGGUGGUGAACUUAAUACGUUCAUCAAUUGACGUUACUCGCAGAAGAAGCACCGGCUAACUCCGUGCCAGCAGCCGCGGUAAUACGGAGGGUGCAAGCGUUAAUCGGAAUUACUGGGCGUAAAGCGCACGCAGGCGGUUUGUUAAGUCAGAUGUGAAAUCCCCGGGCUCAACCUGGGAACUGCAUUUGAAACUGGCAAGCUAGAGUCUCGUAGAGGGGGGUAGAAUUCCAGGUGUAGCGGUGAAAUGCGUAGAGAUCUGGAGGAAUACCGGUGGCGAAGGCGGCCCCCUGGACGAAGACUGACGCUCAGGUGCGAAAGCGUGGGGAGCAAAACAGGAUUAGAUACCCUGGUAGUCCACGCUGUAAACGAUGUCGAUUUUGGAGGUUGUGCCCUUGAGGCGUGGCUUCCGGAGCUAACGCGUUAAAUCGACCGCCUAGGGAGUACGGCCGCAAGGUUAAAACUU
rnacentral:rRNA from 1 species